GCCGAGGUGGUGAAAUUGGUAGACACGCAGGCUUCAGGUGUCUGUGGGGGCAACCCCGUGGAGGUUCAAGUCCUCUCCUCGGCA
rnacentral:tRNA from 1 species